rnacentral:rRNA from 1 species
AACGAACGCUGGCGGCAUGCCUAACACAUGCAAGUCGAACGAGACCUUCGGGUCUAGUGGCGCACGGGUGCGUAACGCGUGGGAACCUGCCCUUAGGUUCGGAAUAACUCCCCGAAAGGGGUGCUAAUACCGGAUAAUGUCUUCGGACCAAAGAUUUAUCGCCUUUGGAUGGGCCCGCGUUGGAUUAGCUAGUUGGUAGGGUAAAAGCCUACCAAGGCGACGAUCCAUAGCUGGUCUGAGAGGAUGAUCAGCCACACUGGGACUGAGACACGGCCCAGACCCUUCCGGAGGGAGGAAGUGGGGAUUAUGGAAAAUUGGGCAAAGGCUGAUCCAGCCAUGGCGCGGUAGGGAUGAAGGCCUUAGGGUUGGAAAGCCCCUUUACCCGGGAUGAUAAUGACAGUACCGGGAGAAUAAGCUCCGGCUAACUCCGUG